rnacentral:lncRNA from 1 species
CUCUGAGCUACACUUCCAGCUCUGACAUUUUUUAAUUUCAAAUACUCUUCAUAAAAUUGAUAUAACCACCACAAGGAUGGGAUCCUAAUUAGAAUAACUUAUGCUCCACAUAUGUAUAGUAUGUCAGAAUACACUACUGUCACAUAUAUACAAAAAACGCAAAUAAAAGUAAUAUGUAAAAAAAAAUUGGUAUAACCAAGGGAAGAAAAAUAUUCUAAAUAUGUAACUGGAUAUUGUUCCUGAAAUCAUUCAUGAGGGGUGAUCCAACACCACCUGCCAUCACACACCUUGCACAUGGCAAGCGCUCCUCCACUGGGCUACAUCCCCAGCACUAUGAGAGGUGACUUUAAAGAUGUAGUAUUUUCUGCCACAUUUUCAAGUAAAUAUUGGUAUUUUUUUUCCUACUGAAAGUUAUAGUUUUUAAAGGGCACUGAUGCCUAAGGCUGUUUGUCUUCAUGAAAAUUUCCUUUAUAUCCACUGUACCAGUUCAUUUAUCAGUAUUUGCUUCUUUAACAUUUGAAACCACACAGAUAUCUGAUAUGGGUUGCAUCCUACUGUCAUGUAGAAACAAAUGCUUCCACUUUUAAGGUUUUUUACAUUUAUCAAUAUUACUCUUCUCUAAACUUUUCUGAAAGAAAGUGUCCAAACUUCCCAUAUAUGUAUUCAUUUUAUACUCCCACAAAACCAGUGUAUCUCACUAUAAUUCUUCCUGUAUAUUUUUCUUGCUUGUCUGUAGGAUUUACACUAAUAACAUUCUGCCUCUGUCAUAGUAAUUGAAGUACUCAUCUUCACUUGUGACUUUAUUAUAGAGUUUUAUAAUCUGAAAUAUUCUGCAGUAUCACAACUUAAAAUGAGUUGGUUGGAUUUAAACUUGAUUUACACUGAAAGUUUGUCUUAAGUAAUAGGUGAUAAAACAAAUGGAACAUUUAUCAGCGAUGAUGUGCAGUAUGUAAGGAGGAAAAUUAGCCAAAAGCAAAUAGAAAAUGUUAAUAUGACUUAUAUUUAGCGAGUGUAUUUCCAAUACAUGUCAAAUUUGCAAUAUAUCUGCAAACAUUC